AGACAUUUCUUUGGCCACAUGCUCCUUUGAGAAGGACUUGUAUGGGUGGAUCCAGGAAGCUGAAGAGGACCUUGACUGGGAAAGAUGGAGCGGAACUUCUGAGACCCCAAAUCAUCCGGGUGACCACACCAGUGGAAAUGUAUGUUGUGAUGCCUAAAUUUUACUGCUGGUGACCCGGUCUGGAGAACAGGGUGGACUGUGGAGGUUUGCUCAGACUCUCUAACCAUCUCAGGGUCAAACUACAAGAUCGUGGCGGAGGGGAUUACAGGCCAAACGGAACAGGGAGUCAUAGCACUUGAUGAUGUUCAGGUUUUAAACCAUCCCUCCACUGCUUCGGGACAAUGUGACUUUGAGGCAAACUUCUGCAGCUGGAUGAAUGGAGGGUUAAUGAUGCAGACUGGCUCAGACACCAGCCCUCCACCAACACUUCCACAGGUGAGCUGAAAGAGUUCACUCAGCUUCAUUAAAAUGUUAGAGAGAAUAUAAAGGAAAUAUAAAUAGAUCUGAUAUUGUGCUUUCUUUUAAUGGGGAUCAUACAUACUUUACACUUAACUCCUGGUCCCAAAGUGUUAAAAAUUGUAUUUUAUAUUUUAUAAAAUAGCAAUGAGAGCGUGCAAAAAGUAUUUAUUUUACUUAAAUACACUGUUAAAGUAAUAGUAAUUUAAAUUUUAGAGCUGUCAGUGGGAAAGACUUUAGUGGAAAGUGCAUACACAAAACAUUUAAAGUGUCUGUCAGUUCAUAUCAGUACACAGAGAAAAGCUUUAGUGAAGCUCCUGGAGGAUGUUCUGAAGCUGAAAUGCAACCAAAACAAUGCAGGUUUAUUUUAUAACCGUUAGAGGGCCAAAAGUUCCAUAGUGUUUUAAAUACUGGUUACCGUAAGUUUCAAAAGUCCAACCAUAAUCAAAGGUCAUCAAAAACAUAUGACCUCAUUGCUUUUGUAGGAUAAAUUGAAAAUCUGGACAACAGUGAAGGUCCGCCUACUUGCUUGUCUGUUGAGAGAACUGGGCUUGAAAACAAUACAUUUGUGCUUAUUUUAAAUCCAGGUUUAUUAAGUAGUGGUGUUUUGUUUGUGAAUAAAUCAGAAAUGACGACUGAAAAUACUUUUUGUGGAGUCUUUUUGCGUAUAUGUAACAGAAUAAGACUUGUUUUGUUUUUGUUUUUUCACUUAAAUUAUACAGUGAGUAGAUACACCUACGGGCAAAAAUGUAACCGAGAAAAGAUCACUGACAAAUAAAUAAUUAAAUCAAAUCAAGUCUUUUUGGUAAAUGAUUCAAAAGACUGAAUUUCCUGAUGUGAUUUAUACAGUUUGCUGUAUUGCAGUUUAUCAACUUGCAGUAGAACACUAAAUAAGUGAUUGAUAUCGUACUAAAAACAGACCUUUUAUGAAAGUGGCGUGACAUAAAGCCAAGCAUGGUGACCCAUACUUAUUAUAUGGACAGUUCUGUGGGCACCUGGGGAGACACUGUCAGGAUCCUAAGUGAGAUAUUCACCCCUGACAGCAGAGGGCACUGCUACACAUUCAUAUGUAUGGACACAAUUUUGGGACUCUCAGGUUACACAUCAAUAACAGGUACAGGAGGACCAUGACCAAAAAAAAAAAAGAAAAAAGCUGUUUAGAUGUAGGUAUUGGUGCUGGGUUGGGAGUGACAGUCUUUGUGAUAUGUACUGUCGUCCCUGUCCUUUUUGUGCUGAAUAAUAAAAAAAAAAGGUAUGUACUGCUCAUUACAUGGCCAAUUUAAUUAGAUAAAAAUGAAAUGUCUUGUUUAUAUACAGGGAUACUUGAAGAUGACAUGCUUGAUAGUAACUUUUCUCGUAGCUACUUUGACUGCAAUAUGAGUGGUUUAACAUCUACAGGAGCAAACAGCAACUCCAGGAAUAUUCUACUUUCAGCAGAUGGAGAUGACACUCAUCUUUCACAUAAAAAACUUUCACAUAAAAAAUCUUUCA